UAAGGAAUAUUGGUCAAUGGACGAAAGUCUGAACCAGCCAUGCCGCGUGAAGGAUGAAGGUCCUCUGGAUUGUAAACUUCUUUUAUAUGGGACGAAAAAAGGGAAUUCUUUCUCACUUGACGGUACCAUAGGAAUAAGCACCGGCUAACUCCGUGCCAGCAGCCGCGGUAAUACGGAGGGUGCAAGCGUUAUCCGGAUUCACUGGGUUUAAAGGGAGCGUAGGUGGGUCUGUAAGUCAGUGGUGAAAUCUCCGGGCUUAACCCGGAAACUGCCAUUGAUACUAUAGGUCUUGAAUCUUCUGGAGGUCAGCGGAAUAUGUCAUGUAGCGGUGAAAUGCUUAGAUAUGACAUAGAACACCAAUUGCGAAGGCAGCUGACUACAGGGGCAUUGACACUGAGGCUCGAAAGCGUGGGGAUCAAACAG
rnacentral:rRNA from 1 species